UGGCGAUUGGGACGAAGUCGUAACAAGGUAGCCGUACCGGAAGGUGCGGCUGGAUCACCUCCUUUCUAAGGAGCA
rnacentral:rRNA from 3 species